UGUAGGAGUGAGCCUGCUCGCGAUUGCGUCAUACCAGUCGACAUAUUCAUCGGCUGGUAGACCGCAAUCGCGAGCAGGCUCACUCCUACA
rnacentral:misc_RNA from 1 species